rnacentral:rRNA from 1 species
UACAGAGGGUGCGAGCGUUAAUCGGAGUUACUGGGCGUAAAGGGCGCGUAGGCGGUUUAAUAAGAUUGAUGUGAAAUCCCCGGGCUUAACCUGGGAAUGGCAUUUGGGACUGCAAGGCUUGAGUGCGGCAGAGGAGACUGGAAUUCCUGGUGUAGCAGUGAAAUGCGUAGAUAUCAGGAGGAACACCGAUGGCGAAGGCAGGUCUCUGGGCUGACACUGACGCUCAUGCACGAAAGCGUGGGGAGCAAACAGG